AACGCUAGCUACAGGCUUAACACAUGCAAGUCGAGGGGCAGCAUGGACUCAGCUUCGCUGAGUUUGAUGGCGACCGGCGCACGGGUGAGUAACGCGUAUCCAACCUGCCCUUUACUCCGGGAUAGUCUCCUGAAAGGGAGUUUAAUACCGGAUGUGUUUGUCUUUCCGCAUGGGAGCGACAAAUAAAGAUUGAUUGGUAAAGGAUGGGGAUGCGUCCCAUUAGCUGGUUGGCGGGGUAACGGCCCACCAAGGCGACGAUGGAUAGGGGUUCUGAGAAGAAGGUCCCCCACAUUGGAACUGAGACACGGUCCAAACUCCUACGGGAGGCAGCAGUGAGGAAUAUUGGUCAAUGGACGAGAGUCUGAACCAGCCAAGUAGCGUGAAGGAUGACUGCCCUAUGGGUUGUAAACUUCUUUUAUACGGGAAUAAAGUGAGGCACGUGUGCCUUUUUGUAUGUACCGUAUGAAUAAGGAUCGGCUAACUCCGUGCCAGCAGCCGCGGUAAUACGGAGGAUCCGAGCGUUAUCCGGAUUUAUUGGGUUUAAAGGGAGCGUAGGCCGGAGAUUAAGCGUGUUGUGAAAUGUAGACGCUCAACGUCUGCACUGCAGCGCGAACUGGUUUCCUUGAGUACGCACAAAGUGGGCGGAAUUCGUGGUGUAGCGGUGAAAUGCUUAGAUAUCACGAAGAACUCCGAUUG
rnacentral:rRNA from 1 species